rnacentral:rRNA from 1 species
CGACCGGCGCACGGGUGAGUAACACGUAUGGAACCUGCCCGCAGCAGGGGGAUAAGCGGAAGAAAUUCCGUCUAAUACCGCGUAACAACGUUGGGAGGCAUCUCCCGAUGUUUAAAGAUUUAUCGGCUGCGGAUGGCCAUGCGGCGCAUUAGCUAGUCGGCGGGGUAACGGCCCACCGAGGCGACGAUGCGUAGGGGUUCUGAGAGGAAGGUCCCCCACACUGAUACUGAGACACGGACCAGACUCCUACGGGAGGCAGCAG